AUGGACGUGCACUCGGCGCCGGUGGCGGCGAGGAGGAUGUGGGGGUACCUGCGGGCGGUCUUCUUCAUGAUGCGCAAGGGCAAGCGCAAGCUGCUCCUCGGCGCGCACCUCCUCAUGAAGCGCCGCAACAAGGCCGUCUCGCGCUCCGUCGCCAACCUCCUCUCGCACCACCACCACCACGGUCACCACGGCGGCCGCGCGCUGCGCCGCCGCGAGUACGAGUUCUCCUGCGGCGACAGCCCCGACCCGGGCUCCUUCUCCAUGCGCCGCCUCGCCUUCCCCUGCCUCGGCGCCGCCGACGACGUCGACCAGCCCGGCCGCCUCCGCGCCGAGCACCCCGCGCCCGCCACGCCGCCGCGGCACAUGAUCGAGUACUACGCCAACGCGGCGGCCGCGUCCCCGGCGCCGUCGUCGCCCGGGGCGCUGAUGAUGAUGCACGAGGAGUCCGAGCUCGCGCUGGGGGAGGAAUGCACGCCGGCGGGGAUGUCACCGCUGGUGCCCGGCGCGGCCGACGGCGGGUUCUCGGUGCGGGUGUCCAACUUCUCGUCGGACGAGGUCGACACCGACCAGCUGGGCCUGGGCGAGGCCGUGGACGACGAGGCGGAGGAGUUCAUCGCCCGCUUCUACGCCCAGCUGCGCCGCCAGAACCACAUCGGGCUGCUCCCGUACUACCUCCAGGAGGCCGCCGCGUGA
rnacentral:rRNA from 1 species